GAAUUUUAGUCUUAAUGUACUAAAGGAAAUAUAAAAAAUAAUAUUUUUUUAUUUUGAGUUCUAGAUAUUAAUUUCCUAAAGGAAAACCACCUCAAAAGAUUUUUAUAUUUUUUUUAUGAAAUUUUUUUUUAGAAUUAAUAUUCUAAAGAAAACUUCUAAAGGAAAUAUAAAAAUGCAAAAUCUCUUUUUUUGGAUUUUUGAUUUAUAACCCAUUUUUUCAAAUACAAAAUAGGAAGUACAAUAACAAAAGACUCGACAAACUUACUAGACUAUGACAGACUUCAACAUCCCUUAAAAGAUUAGAUAUUACUGUACAGAACUAGAAGGUAAAACACGACAUAAAAAGAAAAACAGACCCAAAACAUAAAAAAUAAAAAAUAAAAAAAAUCUCCUUAAGCAACUCCUGAAUGAGCGAUCUUGACUGGAUAGUCCUAAGGCGUCUGUCAUGCCCAAACUCCGGUAAGUAGAUCCACAUCUGUAUGCGAAAAUUAGACCAAAUAAAGUUAUAGACCUAGAACACUAUGUGAGACAAUAACACUUCAUGUUUGACACAUGCAAGACAUGAUUGAGGCUAUUUUGGCAAAACGGCCUGCAUGGCCCAAAAGUGGCUAGACAUGCAAGAUUUGGCUAAGACCCCGAGAAGACAAGAACCUAAGACUCACUAGGAAGACCGGACCCUAUGUGGGCUGCUUACGUAUCCCACCCCGAAAGACGAGAAUCAGGUAUGCGUAGUUCGGGCGGAUUAGAUAUGGUCGAGAAUUAAAAAACAACUAAUUUAGUGAACACAUAUUUUUGUUUUUUUAAAAAAAAUGAUGGGAAAGUUCAAAAUCUUUUUGGAUUUUUUCAAAAAUAAAAUUUCGUCUUUUUUUUCUUUUUCUUAAAAAAUGUGAAAGAAAAACAUAAUUGUGCCCUACUUGCUUUAUUUUUACACUUCACCCUUUUUUCUUUCUCAUUUACCCUCAACUAUCAUUGGUCCGCCAACUAACCCUUUUACCCUUGAAGAAAUGCAACAUGCAGCACAUAGGAUGCAUCAGGAUGGUCUUUUAUUUUUGGGUACACCUGUCCUAGACAGACCCAACCCCUGUGUUAAGUCCCCAAAGUCAAAUGCACGUGAUGCAAACAAGCGUUCCUACUAGGGAUCCGGCAUGAGGUUAUGUUAUUCUAAGUUUAAAUCUAGGGUUGUGUUCUUGACCUGGCUUAUCCGAGCAGACAACUCGAGUCGAAGAGGGGGAAACGUACCGGGAGUACGAAAGUCUACCCGGCCUUGUUGCUGGCCCAGCCUCGUUCUAUUUGGUAUAACUUCUAACAGAAAAAGUGGGCCACACAAACGUGUGCACCAUAUUAGAAGACUCAGAGUGGUGGCGUAAGAAGACAGUUAAAUACAGUGCAAAUAAUAUCAAAGUAUUAAAUAAACAGCAAUUAGCACAUUAGCUCCAAAAAAAUACAGUAAUAUCAACAAUAAAUAAAGCUAAGUAAAAUCAUGUUAACAAGCUCGAAUUCUUGAAUCCUGAACCAGAAGUUCUGGGUUCUUGACCCUGUCAGAGUUGUCACACCUCCUUUUUCCUACCCCGAAAGGGUAUAUAAGAGUGUUCUUUUUUCAAUUUAAGUGACAAUCGAAACGGGAUUAUUUAUAUUAAAUCAGAGUCUCCAGUUGAGAUAAUUCAUGGUGUCCCAAGUCACCGAUUUAAAACCUGGAUCGAGGAAGUUGACUCUUAUUUAUGGUCUGCGAACACAGAAAUUCGGGUAAGGAAUUCUGUUAACCCAUGAGAAGGUGUUAGGUUCUUCAGGAUUCCGUGGUUUUAGCACAGUCGUUUUGAUUGUACUUGGCUUAAUCAAAUUGUCUAAUUACUCAUUUUUUGAACCUAUGUGCAUUUGCCUCUUUUAAUUAAGAAAUUAUCUUAAAACAGGUCACGCGCACGUGUACCCAUUUGUUUGGCACAUAAAAAAUCAUGUCACGCGAACGUGUCCACAAUUAAUCACGUUCUAUUAAUAUUAAGAAAUUUUUGGUCAAUGUUGUGCGAAAGCAUACUCCGAUUUUGUUUUUAGAAUCGUAAUCAUGUCACACGAACGUGUACUCGAUCACGAUCAUAUAUGCUAGUUAUUCACACUUAGAAAUGUUUAACACUCACUACUCUAUCUGUUGAGCUAUUUUUAUAUCCAUUAAUUUGUAAAAGAUGGUUUAACUUAUAACUUGUUUACCCUAAUGGUUUGCUGUUAAAGUUAUUAAUCUAGUUUCUCGCAAAUUUCAGCAAAACCAAACUUUAAACUCACUUAAAACCCCAAUUAAAAUAUCAAAAAUAGAAGGGUUCGAACUACAAAGACGAUGUGUAUCCAUAAAAGAUUUAAAAACAGAAUUUGGCGUAACACCCAUGUUAGAUAAAUGCCUCAAAAUUUACUUAAUAUUGUCAUGCCAUCAAAUAAUUACACAAAAUCGAUUUAACACAGUCAAUAAAUGAAACAAGCGAUGAAUAGGAGAAAAAGAGUGACCUGAAUUACUUUCAAUUUUUCAAAGAAACCUGCUGCCCGUUUACAAAGAAACUCAUGCCGAUAAAGCUAGACACGGACAGACCCGACCGGAAACCUCAACGAAACAACCUCGGACUCCGACAGUAUCUCAAUCACGAUUUCAAAACAAAUUGAAUGGACAAUAUCUGAAAUAAGCCAAGCGAAGCUUGAAACCAGAUUCAAGUUCCUCUCAUGCUCACAAAAGCUCCACUGGUUCGCUGUUGUCCCUUUCCCGUUUCUGUGCGUGCGUGUGGCUAUGUGUGAGUGUUUUCCGGUGAGCUAUGGUAAAGAGAAGGAGGAGCAGCGAUAGGUUUUAGAGAAUGGUCGAGAUUCGGCCGACUGCUUAAGGUCGUUCGCGUUUUUCGGGCGAGUUGGUGAGAUCGAGUGAAAAAGAAUGGUCGUUGCUGUUGUUAUGGUCGUCGGCGUGGUGGUCACUGGUUAAUGUUGCUGAAGCUUAGGGGUGUUCAUGGAGUUGUGCGGCUAUCCCUUAUUUGUGAAGAAGAUGAUGAGGGGUUCCUUUUGUUUUUUGUUUGUUCGCUGCUCAAGAUCGGGUCUCGAGAAGAUGAAGCUCAACGGCUGCUUAUGGUUUGUAGGGGAAGAAGAAAUAACACUAGAGGGGGUCGUGUGUUUAUGGCUGCUGCGGCAACUUCUAGGUCUCUAGGGUUCUUUUGUGUUCUCCCCAAUGAAGAAGAAGGGUGGUAACGGGUCCUAGGUCUCAAAAACGGCUAAAGGGUCUAUUAUUUUGUGUAUUUUCAGCUGAUGCUUAAGGGUCUAGGGGUCCUUUUAUGCUUAGGGAUAUUUAGGGUUUAAAAAGAAAGAUCUCAUGGGUCUAAUGGGUUUUUGGGCUUUAACAUUGAAAUUGGGUUGGGUCCAUGUUUUAUUGGGUCUUAAUUUUGGGCUAAGGAGACUACAAUAUGAAAAUAUAAAACUUACUCUUAAUUAAUUAGAACACACUACUAAAAUAAAACUAGAUAUUAAAAGUGAAACCAUUUUUUGUAUUUUCAAGAUUAUAAAAAGAUAAAGAAUA
rnacentral:lncRNA from 1 species